rnacentral:rRNA from 1 species
CCCUUAGAUGUUCUGGGCCGCACGCGCGCUACACUGAUUCAUGCAACAAGUUUUGUCCUUGGCUGAUAGGCCUGGGUAAUCUUUGAACGUGAAUCGUGAUGGGGAUAGAUGAUUGCAAUUAUUCAUCUUCAACGAGGAAUUCCUAGUAAACGCAAGUCAUCAGCUUGCAUUGAUUACGUCCCUGCCCUUUGUACACACCGCCCGUCGCACCUACCGAUUGAAUGGUCCGGUGAAAUCUUCGGAUCUGAGAGAUGUCUGAUUAAUUUCGGACGCCUUUUGGAAAAGUUGUUUAAACCUUACCAUUUAGAGGAAGGUGAAGUCGUAACU